GUCGAACGCGAUUGGGGAGCUUGCUCCCCAUGAAAGUGGCGCACGGGUGCGUAACGCGUAUGCAACCUACCUUAAUCAGGGGGAUAGCCCGAAGAAAUUCGGAUUAACACCGCAUAAAAUAGUAGRAWGGCAUCAUUCAACUAUCAAAUAUUUAUAGGAUUAAGAUGGGCAUGCGUGACAUUAGUUAGUUGGUGAGGUAACGGCUCACCAAGACGACGAUGUCUAGGGGAUCUGAGAGGAUGACCCCCCACACUGGUACUGAGACACGGACCAGACUCCUACGGGAGGCAGCAGUAAGGAAUAUUGGUCAAUGGGGGCAACCCUGAACCAGCCAUGCCGCGUGCAGGAAGACUGCCCUAUGGGUUGUAAACUGCUUUUGUCGGGGAAUAAACCUCUUUACGUGUAAAGAGCUGAAUGUACUCGAAGAAUAAGGAUCGGCUAACUCCGUGCCAGCAGCCGCGGUAAUACGGAGGAUCCAAGCGUUAUCCGGAUUUAUUGGGUUUAAAGGGUGCGUAGGCGGCUUAUUAAGUCAGGGGUGAAAGACGGUGGCUCAACCAUCGCAGUGCCUUUGAUACUGAUAAGCUUGAAUGAACCUGAGGUAGGCGGAAUGUGACAAGUAGCGGUGAAAUGCAUAGAUAUGUCACAGAACACCAAUUGCGAAGGCAGCUUACUAAAGUUNAAUUGACGCUGASGCACG
rnacentral:rRNA from 1 species